GAUGAACGCUGGCGGCGUGCUUAACACAUGCAAGUCGAACGGUGAAGCAGAGCUUGCUCUGUGGAUCAGUGGCGAACGGGUGAGUAACACGUGAGCAACCUGCCCCUGACUCUGGGAUAAGCGCUGGAAACGGCGUCUAAUACUGGAUAUGAGCUGCGACCGCAUGGUCAGCAGUUGGAAAGAUUUUUCGGUCUGGGAUGGGCUCACGGCCUAUCAGCUUGUUGGUGAGGUAAUGGCUCACCAAGGCGUCGACGGGUAGCCGGCCUGAGAGGGUGACCGGCCACACUGGGACUGAGACACGGCCCAGACUCCUACGGGAGGCAGCAGUGGGGAAUAUUGCACAAUGGGCGAAAGCCUGAUGCAGCAACGCCGCGUGAGGGAUGACGGCCUUCGGGUUGUAAACCUCUUUUAGCAGGGAAGAAGCGAAAGCGACGGUACCUGCAGAAAAAGCGCCGGCUAACUACGUG
rnacentral:rRNA from 1 species